CAUGGCUCAGGAUGAACGCUGGCGGCGUGCUUAACACAUGCAAGUCGAACGAUGAAGCCCAGCUUGCUGGGUGGAUUAGUGGCGAACGGGUGAGUAACACGUGAGUAACCUGCCCUUAACUCUGGGAUAAGCCUGGGAAACUGGGUCUAAUACCGGAUAGGAGCGUCCACCGCAUGGUGGGUGUUGGAAAGAUUUAUCGGUUUUGGAUGGACUCGCGGCCUAUCAGCUUGUUGGUGAGGUAAUGGCUCACCAAGGCGACGACGGGUAGCCGGCCUGAGAGGGUGACCGGCCACACUGGGACUGAGACACGGCCCAGACUCCUACGGGAGGCAGCAGUGGGGAAUAUUGCACAAUGGGCGAAAGCCUGAUGCAGCGACGCCGCGUGAGGGAUGACGGCCUUCGGGUUGUAAACCUCUUUCAGUAGGGAAGAAGCGAAAGAGACGGUAC
rnacentral:rRNA from 1 species